UACGUAGGGUGCAAGCGUUGUCCGGAAUUAUUGGGCGUAAAGAGCUCGUAGGCGGUUUGUCGCGUCUGCUGUGAAAACUCGGGGCUUAACUCCGGGCCUGCAGUGGGUACGGGCAGACUAGAGUGCGGUAGGGGAGACUGGAAUUCCUGGUGUAGCGGUGAAAUGCGCAGAUAUCAGGAGGAACACCGGUGGCGAAGGCGGUUCUCUGGGCAUUACCUGACGCUGAGGAGCGAAAGUGUGGGGAGCGAACAGG
rnacentral:rRNA from 1 species